GAGGGACAUGGGGACGCUGAGGCAGCGCACGCGGGCCACCAUCGGCCAAGGAUGAGACCAUUAGAACAUCUGCAAUGGGUUGAAACGCCUCGAAUGCAACACAGACACAGGAAGCAUCAACUCUGAGGCUUUGGCCAGGAUGUGAGCCCGACUUUCGCAGCCCCAACUGGCAGGCUGACCUCAUGUGAACUCCCUGGCGAUGGCAUCCUGGAGACACCCACAUGGCUGAGCUGGCACCAUAGGCACUCAUAAUCCAGGUUCAGUUUCUGCCAGCACUAAUUUGGUUUAUUCCACAUGGCUGGAGCCACUGCGGGACUCCAUUUGUUCCGGGGCCACCUUCCUGUCACCUUUUACUGUUUCUUGAGUCAGCAAGAAAGGCAGAUCCGACUGAAGACUCCAGCACUCUCCUCAGCUGCAGCCCCCACAGAGCUCCGCGAAGUCCUUUCUCCCACAGGACAGAUCUGAGGCACCCACCAUUAGAAGAAAGGAGUGGAGAAAUGAUAUGCAGGAAGAAGGCCCAUUCUGAUUCACCAAUCGCAUGGACGCACUUUCCUACCAGGCUAGGAGGGAGG
rnacentral:lncRNA from 1 species